rnacentral:rRNA from 1 species
AGUGAACGCUGGCGGUAGGCCUAACACAUGCAAGUCGAACGGCAGCACAGUAAGAGCUUGCUCUUACGGGUGGCGAGUGGCGGACGGGUGAGGAAUACAUCGGAAUCUACUUUUUCGUGGGGGAUAACGUAGGGAAACUUACGCUAAUACCGCAUACGACCUACGGGUGAAAGCAGGGGAUCUUCGGACCUUGCGCGAUUGAAUGAGCCGAUGUCGGAUUAGCUAGUUGGCGGGGUAAAGGCCCACCAAGGCGACGAUCCGUAGCUGGUCUGAGAGGAUGAUCAGCCACACUGGAACUGAGACACGGUCCAGACUCCUACGGGAGGCAGCAGUGGGGAAUAUGGGACAAUGGGCGCGAGCCUGAUCCAGCCAUACCGCGUGGGUGAAGAAGGCCUUCGGGUUGUAAAGCCCUUUUGUUGGGAAAGAAAAGCAGCAGGUUAAUACCCCGCUGUUCUGACGGUACCCAAAGAAUAAGCACCGGCUAACUUCGUG